CUGGUAGGUGACACAUUGUGCUCCUUCUGGGGUAGUUUGUCCACCUUCGGUCCCCACCAUGCACUCAGCUCUCAACUGGCCAGCUAAACCAGGUGAGGGCAGUUGAUAAGUCUCAAACCCUCAGAAAGUUAGGUACUGUGUUUUUUGCACCAUAACACUCACUUUUUUCCUCCUAAAAAGUAAGGGGAAAUGUCUGUGCGUGUUAUGGAGGGAAUGCCUACGGGUGGCAUGCCUACGGAUUUUCCUCCUCUAAAAACUACGUGCGUGUUAUGGUUGAGUGCGUUAUAGAGCGAAAAAUACGGUACUUUCUCUGCAUGCAAGACAGGCUCCGGUGGAUUGAGUGAACAAAACUAAUCGUGGAUCCAACAGUCAAGGAGGUGGUUUCUGCACACGCUGUACAGGGAAGUGAAGGGCAGAUGGGGCAUGUCAACCUGUGAAGGUAGAUCAUCAAGAAGGAAAACUCUGGUCCUG